CAACCAGACUCCUACGGGAGGCAGCAGUGGGGAAUAUUGGACAAUGGGGGGAACCCUGAUCCAGCGACGCCGCGUGAGUGAAGAAGUAAUUCGUUAUGUAAAGCUCUAUCAGCAGGGAAGAAAAUGACGGUACCUGAGUAAGAAGCCCCGACUAACUACGUGCCAGCAGCCGCGGUAAUACGUAGGGGGCAAGCGUUAUCCGGAUUUACUGGGUGUAAAGGGAGCGUAGACGGCAGUGCAAGCCUGGAGUGGAAGCCCGGGGCCCAACCCCGGGACUGCUCUGGGAACUGUGCGGCUGGAGUGCGGGAGGGGCAGGCGGAAUUCCUGGUGUAGCGGUGAAAUGCGUAGAUAUUAGGAGGAACACCAGUGGCGAAGGCGGCUUACUGGACUGUAACUGACGUUGAGGCUCGAAAGCGUGGGGAGCAAACAGGAUUAGAUACCCCGGUACU
rnacentral:rRNA from 1 species